rnacentral:rRNA from 1 species
CGACCUCGGGCUGUACGGGACUACCCGGUGGAUUUAAGCAUAUUAAUAAGCGGAGGGAAAAACAAA